rnacentral:rRNA from 1 species
UAGCCCAGGGAAACCUGGAUUAAUACCGGAUGAGACGGGACCCGCGAUGGCGGGACCCGGGAAAGGCGCUGCGGCGCCGCCGGGGGGAUGAGUCUGCGUCCCAUUAGCUAGACGGCGGGGUAACGGCCCACCGUGGCGACGAUGGGUAGCCGGCCUGAGAGGGUGGACGGCCACAUUGGAACUGAGACACGGUCCAGACUCCUACGGGAGGCAGCAGCUAAGAAUCUUCCGCAAUGGGCGAAAGCCUGACGGAGCGAACCGCCGCGUGAACGAAGAAGGCCGUGAGGUUGUAAAGUUCUUUUCGGGAGGGGGAACAACCGUGGCAGGGAAUGGCCGCGGGAUGACGUGAAUCCCGGAAUAAGCCCCGGCUAACUACGUGCCAGCCGCCGC